GGUUCUGUAGUGUAGUGGUGAUCACUCCGGUUUUUGAAGCGAGAGAUCGUUAGAUUACCGGUAACCCCGGUUCGAACCCGGGCAGGACCU
rnacentral:tRNA from 1 species